rnacentral:rRNA from 1 species
AAAUUGAAGAGUUUGAUCAUGGCUCAGAUUGAACGCUGGCGGCAGGCCUAACACAUGCAAGUCGAGCGGUAGCACAGAGAGCUUGCUCUCGGGUGACGAGCGGCGGACGGGUGAGUAAUGUCUGGGAAACUGCCUGAUGGAGGGGGAUAACUACUGGAAACGGUAGCUAAUACCGCAUAACGUCGCAAGACCAAAGUGGGGGACCUUCGGGCCUCAUGCCAUCAGAUGUGCCCAGAUGGGAUUAGCUAGUAGGUGGGGUAACGGCUCACCUAGGCGACGAUCCCUAGCUGGUCUGAGAGGAUGACCAGCCACACUGGAACUGAGACACGGUCCAGACUCCUACGGGAGGCAGCAGUGGGAAUAUUGCACAAUGGGCGCAAGCCUGAUGCAGCCAUGCCGCGUGUGUGAAGAAGGCCUUCGGGUUGUAAAGCACUUUCAGCGGGGAGGAAGGCGAUAAGGUUAAUAACCUUGUCGAUUGACGUUACCCGCAGAAGAAGCACCGGCUAACUCCGUGCCAGCAGCCGCGGUAAUACGGAGGGUGCAAGCGUUAAUCGGAAUUACUGGGCGUAAAGCGCACGCAGGCGGUCUGUCAAGUCGGAUGUGAAAUCCCCGGGCUCAACCUGGGAACUGCAUUCGAAACUGGCAGGCUAGAGUCUUGUAGAGGGGGUAGAAUUCCGGUGUAGCGGUGAAAUGCGUAGAGAUCUGGAGGAAUACCGGUGGCGAAGGCGGCCCCGACAAAGACUGACGCUCAGGUGCGAAAGCGUGGGGAGCAAACAGGAUUAGAUACCCUGGUAGUCCACGCCGUAAACGAUGUCGAUUUGGAGGUUGUGCCCUUGAGGCGUGGCUUCCGGAGCUAACGCGUUAAAUCGACCGCCUGGGGAGUACGGCCGCAAGGUUAAAACUCAAAUGAAUUGACGGGGGCCCGCACAAGCGGUGGAGCAUGUGGUUUAAUUCGAUGCAACGCGAAGAACCUUACCUGGUCUUGACAUCCACAGAACUUUCCAGAGAUGGAUUGGUGCCUUCGGGAACUGUGAGACAGGUGCUGCAUGGCUGUCGUCAGCUCGUGUUGUGAAAUGUUGGGUUAAGUCCCGCAACGAGCGCAACCCUUAUCCUUUGUUGCCAGCGGUCCGGCCGGGAACUCAAAGGAGACUGCCAGUGAUAAACUGGAGGAAGGUGGGGAUGACGUCAAGUCAUCAUGGCCCUUACGACCGUGGCUACACACGUGCUACAAUGGCAUAUACAAAGAGAAGCGACCUCGCGAGAGCAAGCGGACCUCAUAAAGUAUGUCGUAGUCCGGAUUGAGUCUGCAACUCGACUCCAUGAAGUCGGAAUCGCUAGUAAUCGUAGAUCAGAAUGCUACGGUGAAUACGUUCCCGGGCCUUGUACACACCGCCCGUCACACCAUGGGAGUGGGUUGCAAAAGAAGUAGGUAGCUUAACCUUCGGGAGGGCGCUUACCACUUUGUGAUUCAUGACUGGGGUGAAGUCGUAACAAGGUAACCGUAGGGGAACCUGCGGUUGGAUCACCUCCUUACCUUAAAGAA